rnacentral:rRNA from 1 species
GAUCAUGGCUCAGGAUGAACGCUAGCUACAGGCUUAACACAUGCAAGUCGAGGGGCAGCAUAACCUAGCAAUAGGUUGAUGGCGACCGGCGCACGGGUGAGUAACACGUAUCCAACCUACCGGUUAUUCUGGGAUAGCCUUUCGAAAGAAAGAUUAAUACCGGAUAGCAUAACGAGAAGGCAUCUUCUUGUUAUUAAAGAACUUCGAUAACCGAUGGGGAUGCGUUCCAUUAGUUUGUUGGCGGGGUAACCGG